UACGGAGGGUGCAAGCGUUGCUCGGAAUUAUUGGGCGUAAAGGGUAGGUAGGUGGUCUUAUUUGUCUGAGGUGAAAUCCUUGAGCUUAACUCAAGAAGUGCCUCAGAAACGGUGAGACUGGAGUCCUGGAGAGGGUCGUGGAAUUCCCGGUGUAGCGGUGAAAUGCGUAGAGAUCGGGAGGAACACCAGAGGCGAAAGCGGCGACCUGGACAGGUACUGACACUCAACUACGAAAGCGUGGGGAGCAAACAGG
rnacentral:rRNA from 1 species